rnacentral:lncRNA from 1 species
GGGGUCGUCAUUGCAAGGUGAUUCCUCGCUUUCAUCUCGGGAGUCAUUGCCGUAUCCGGCGAGCAACGUAGUAGGACCACCACUGUCUUCACUUGUGUAACUUUCACAGUCUACAUUCAAGUCGAUAUUCAUCUAAUUUUCAAGUUUGAAAAUUAGUCAAUCUGCCAGAAAAAAAAUAUAUAUAUAUAUUAAUAGGACCAAGGCGAACACCAACAUGACAAAUUCGCAACAUAUGAAAACAAGAUAUCCAAAUAAUGUAAAAUACCAUUCAAAAGAUUCUCCGGCGAACAAGCAUGUAAAUUACCCAACAUGUAAAAUAACAAUGAAAACAAAAUUUCAAAAUAAUACGGCAACAUAUACAAACAUUAUAUCCACCCUAUAUAAAAUAAAAUAACAAUUUCACAAACACUUACAGCAAAAGUGAGAGACCCAAAUUAUAAAUACUUAAUAUGCACCAAAAACAAAAAUUUAGGGCUCUUAGCUUAGCUCCAAGGUACACAACACAAAAUUAUUACUCAAAAAUUACCUUCGCCGUCUGUGCUAAAGAUUCUCCGGCGACCGGAAUGUUUGGAAAUAUAUGAAAAACGAAAUUCUGAGAUG